UGGGGAAUUUUGGACAAUGGGCGCAAGCCUGAUCCAGCCAUGCCGCGUGCGGGAAGAAGGCCUUCGGGUUGUAAACCGCUUUUAGCCGGGAAGAAAAGGCCACGGAUAACACCCGUGGUUCUUGACGGUACCGGCGGAAUAAGCACCGGCUAACUACGUGCCAGCAGCCGCGGUAAUACGUAGGGUGCGAGCGUUAAUCGGAAUUACUGGGCGUAAAGCGUGCACAGGCGGUUUGCUGUGUCUGUCGUGAAAGCCCCGGGCUUAACCUGGGAAUGGCGAUGGAAACUGGCAAGCUGGAGUGCGGCAGAGGGGGGUGGAAUUCCGCGUGUAGCAGUGAAAUGCGUAGAGAUGCGGAGGAACACCGAUGGCGAAGGCAGCCCCCUGGGUCGACACUGACGCUCAGGCACGAAAGCGUGGGGAGCAAACAGGAUUAGAUACCCUGGUAGUCCACGCCCUAAACCAUGUCAACUGGGUGUUGGGGAAGCGAUUCCCUAGUACCGUAGCUAACGCGUGAAGUUGACCGCCUGGGGAGUACGGCCGCAAGGUUAA
rnacentral:rRNA from 1 species